GAGGGGGAGAAACAGCACAGAGUCCACCAUUCCUGCAGCUUGUGCCCAUGGCAGCAGAGCAAGUGGAUAAUAACUCUCUCAGAAUAAUAAUAAUAAUAAUAAUAAUAAUAAUAAUAAUCACAUCAGUCUCGAGAUCUGUCUAAACAGAGCACUCCAAGCAGCUUACUCCCAGUCAGGAAGAGUUGGUAUAUGAGCUGAAACCUCUCUGCCAGCCCAAAUUUGAUUGGUUGUCUGACUCCAAGAAUACCAAGCUAAAAGGACCAUCACCAUUACCGACCGUCCCAACGUCCUCCUGGCCUCCUGGAUCUGCAGGACAAGGUUGGCCCAUAUUUCCAAGAGGAGACUAGGACUGCCCUUCACUUAGGAGGGUGGCUCGGAGCCCACUUCUGCCCUCCCUACCACUGGUCUCCUCCUUCGGGUGUCUUCAGAAGAGACUUCUGUUGAAGAGGAGAUUCAUUCAUCAGCAGAUGAGCCAUUUUCAUGUUUAGACCAAACCUCCAGCCAAAACAAACAAACAAACAAAGUUCCUAUCAAGACAAGUCAGUAUGUUGGCUUAACUCUCAGAGCCUUGCCUGGAUGUCAGGAUCCUUUGAUGGUGACCUCCGACCUGGGGAGCUCCGGAAGGCUUUGAGGUGCCAUUCCACUGACAUUCCACUCUGGGAGGCUCUGCCUCACGCCUAACGCACCUGCCAGCAAUUAAAGGUCCCCUCCCCAGCGACCUGGGCUCGCCUGGGGGGCCCAGGGUCUCUUACCUUUCAAGAGUCCCGAGCCACCCGGCUGUAUGGGUUCCCACAACCUCCUCCCUUCCCUUCACAACAGUCAUGUCCCUACCCCGUUAAUAACCUGCCUUCUUCAGGAAGUGAAGUCCGACCAGGGAUAGCACGACACGCCGAAAGAACAGAGAACUGGGGACAGAGGACCCACAUUCCAGCUCUGCCUCAGCCGCCAACUUGCUCUAGGACUGUGGCAAGUCUCUCCCGUUCUCCAACACCACUUCCUGGCGACAGUGCUGGACCAGAUCAGUGUUUCUUAGAGUUGACCCCGAGAUGUCCCAUAUCAGAAUCCUCUGGAAGACUCAUUAAAAAUCCAGGCUCAAACUCUCCACCCCAGAUCCACUAUGACAGAAUUUCUUUUCUUUUCUUUCCUUUCUUUUUUUUUUUGAGGAAGAUUAGCCCUGAGCUAACUGCUGCCAAUCCUCCUCUUUUUACUGAGGAAGACUGGCCCUGAGCUAACAUCCAUGCCCAUCUUCCUCUACUUAUAUGUGGGACGCCUACCACAGCAUGGCAUGCCAAGCAGUGCCAUGUCCUCACCCGGGAUCCAAACCGGUGAACCCUGGGCCUCCGAGAAGCAGAAUGCGCAAACUUAACCACUGCGCCACCGGGCCGGCCUCUAUGGCAGAAUUUCUGGAGGUAAGGCAUGGCCUGCAUUUCAACACAGGCCCCAGGUGUGUCUUAUGCCCACUGAGGGCUGAGCAGCACUGUCCUGCUUUGUUCCAAACUACAGCUGUCCCUGAGAAUCCCCUUACGUGCUUAGUCUGAACUCGCUCGGGCUCUACGUGGGGGCAGAUUUGCCAAGAAGCGAAUGACCUUUGUACAGGCUCCUGGCAAGGCCCUGGGAGGAGCCGUGGUAAAGUCACGUUCACACUAGUGAAUUCUUUUACUUAAAGAAUAAAAGAAUAUGCUACCACAUACUAAAAACUCAGGCCCCAAGAAACCUGGCUUGGCCCCUGGUUGAGCUAGUUGAGUGGUGACUUGUAUAGGAUCGUAAACCUUUUUCACACCUCCCUCUCUGAUGAUAGACAGGCUUGUCUCCUCUUCCUCUGGCAUUGCCCAUCCUUUGUACUGUCCAAUAUUCUUUGCACAGUGAGAGCUAUAACAUCACCUCUAACAAUCACUGUGGUGAUUCCAGAGGUCAAAUUCCAAUGAUCCGCCUGUGGUCAGA
rnacentral:lncRNA from 1 species